rnacentral:sRNA from 1 species
GUUUCCUCCCAGGGCCAUUGUUACCACCUGAUCAUUUGAGUUUUAGUUUCUCUAGCAGAUGCUGGCUAAUGACUGACCAGGAUCGAAUCAUCAAUUUAGUUGUUGGCAGCUUAACAUCCUUAUUGAUUCUAGUAACGCUGAUAAGUGCUUUUGUUUUUCCUCAACUACCUCCAAAACCGUUGAAUAUAUUCUUUGCUGUCUGCAUCUCUUUGAGUAGUAUUACUGCCUGCAUACUUGUAAGUACUGUUGAGAAUUUAAACAGUGUUCUUGAGGGUUUAAGAUGCAAUGCACAGGACAAAAAUUUUCAGCCUUGGGUCUAUACAAAAGGGUAUCUCUUAAUUAUAUCCUCAUCCUCCCCCUAAAAGUAUGUUAGAAUUCUCAAUAAAAUCUGAGUCUUCUUUUCUCCUAAAUCCCAAAGUUGUAACCCCAAAGAGAAAUUCCACUCCCUUGAUAGCU